CUUCACAAGAGGGCAUAUAAUGUUCAUCCAGUCACAGGGAAUAUGAGUGGUCCCCAAUCUGCAAUUUUCCCAUGAUCCUUAUCUUUAUUAGCUCAUUAUUUUCAUGGAGCCCGCUGUGGCUGCUGAUCUGUGGCAUUUAUCCGGGCGAGCAGAAACAGCCAAUUAGUGGGGGCUUAUCUCAUCGUAGAUAAGGAGCUGCAAUAAGAGUUAAAUAGCAGGGAAACUCUGGAGCUGGAUUUAAAUGAGGUUACUUUACGUAUUUGUUUAUUGUCUAAAUUUGGUAUUGUUGUGGACUCUCGAGCUGAGGGCAAAAUGUCAACAACAUUUACAUACAACAGCAAAAGCAGUAAUAGUCUAAAUUCAUGAUAGUUUUAUGGCUAUGCAUUUUCUUUUGUGGCUCCUACUACAAUCCUGUUUUAUGUUUAUUCACUAUAGACAAGGCUUGUGUGCUUAGCAACAUAGCAACAUAGACCUGAAUGAAAGGAUGAACAAGGCCACAACCAGAGCGAAGUAAGUUGGUUUUUACCAGCUUUUGGUUGAUAUUAUCAGCCAGAAUGUCUGAUGGCAAGAAUGUCAAAUAAAUAAAAAUCUUAUAGAACUGACUAUAAAGCUAUAUUUUUUACGUUUACAACAAUGCAGUAAAGUACCUACAUUGUUACUCAGACCCUAAUGCCGCAUGUUGCAUUUACUGACAAACACACAGCACAGGAAAAAAAACAGUGGGACCUGGAUGCUGGCAGACUGUCAAGUUUGCUACAACAAAAGCAGGAAAAACCCUUCUCUGCCGAUAAUCUUCAACGUCUGUUUCAGGAAGGCAGUAAACAGGGAGGAUGGUUGGUAGUGAGUGGAAUAUGAACAGGUGAAUCCACAGCUUAGAUCAAGAUUACAGUCUCUUAGAAAUUGAUCACAGCGAAGGUACAGUACACUUGGUGACAAGAGGGACUGAGAGGACUCUGCUAUAAAUGCUGGCUUUAUGGAUGAAAGUUAACGUUGUAAUAACAAAGACAGUGAGUGUUUCACCCACAGGAUAUUAUACUGGAGACAGUGAGUGGACUGGGUCUGUCCCUCACAGCCAAAAUAACACUUCCCCUCCCAUUACCUUGUUGUUUAAAACCUGAUGAGUAAACCUAGCAGGUAAACAGUCAAGAAGAGUAGCUUGUGUGUUUUCAGGGUGACACCUUAUGGGUUAGAUCACCUAGUGAGGAUGGUUUUGCAAGGAUCCCGAGUGGUUCUUUGGCUUUGACUGGGCCCCAUUUGUAAUUAUCUGAAGUAUUUAUCUGCAUUAUAUCAGAAUUUAAUUGGAAUGAUACGAGCGAGCAGGAGCGUCUGUUUGUGGGUGGGGCUUUCUGGAGCAGAGACUGGAGAGGAGGAGCUGAGAGGAAAACUGGUUGGGAGGGGUAGUGUUUGUAUUCAAGAUUUCUCCCCAAAAACUGGCACAUCCUCAGAUCCUGCCUGCCCCAACUUUAAGGUUGAGUUUUAUCAAAUGAUUAGGAUAAGGCUUCUUGGUUGUGCAUUUAAAUUUGAAUGCACAACACUAUGGUGAGUUAUUUCUAAACUUUAACUGAGAGAUCCAUGACUUAUGAAUUUGUUUUUGUCAUGAAUCUACUUAAAGUUUGAUGGGUGGAGAUUGCAACUGUGCUCUGUUACUUUUUACUGACAUGAAUGCAGCUGUUUUGUCUGAUUAUUCCUCGCUGUCACAGCUCAUGGUGUUUACACUGACAGCUUCUUACAGCAGACAGUGUCCAGCUGUGUAUUGCAAAGGUACCAUCCUUACAUAUAUCUUGUUUUUUCUUUUCUUUUGCAUGUCCUUGUCUACGCUUUCUUAUUUUAUUGCCAGAGAUCCAGUGACUUGAAUUUUAAUUCAUAAUGCUGUUGUUUUCAGUGGAAUAACAAAAGUACCAGGACCUACUCUGAAAGCAAAGUGUCUGUUUGUGUUACAAUCACUGAAAGAUGAAUGUUUGAAUAACAAAAAAUGUCCAAAUUACACACACACAAAAAAAAAAUGAGAAGAAUUCCAAUUUGAACCAACACGUCAUCCAUUACCCUGCACCUGCCAGCAUCCACAAUAAUCCACAACAAUCAACACGACAAUCAACAAAAAGUAAAUUGCCUUUAAAAAGCUACUAACUUCGUUUCUUAUCUCAGAGGUGGUGCUGCUCGAGUGCCUGGAGUUUCAGGUCUGAACGGAGAAAGUGGAAAAGGUAGGAAAGCCACUUAAAUGCUGAACAAUAAUGGAUUUACUCAGGCUUAACCACAGAUAAGACACUUUAAUAGACAUAUAGCCUCUCGUGGCUUAUUACAGGGCAAAUCCUCAGAACAAAAUGACAACCUGUGUAAAUGAAUAACCCAACAGGAUAGAUUUUUCACCCUCAGCUUUAAUAUUCUGGUUUUCAUGCCCAAAGGGCUAAACCAACACAUGCUGAGUCAGCUUAUACACCGCUUUAAGGUUGUUUGUUAAGCCACUCGUGACGAAUGACUGUGAUAGUAACCUUUAUAGACAUGCUGAGGACCAGUGGCUCAUUGCUUCUCCUGCCAUUACCUCUGUCCAUUUGCAUUUAAAGGUUUUCGAGUUCUCCGACUCCUUCAGAGGUCAAUCAGACACAAAGUUGCGCUAAAUUGCAUGAAGUUGUGUGAGAAAAUGACAAAUCAUGGGUAAUUGAUAUGAACUCUGAUAUUAAUUUUGCUCAAAGAAUAAUUGUGACUGCCACAGUCAAGCAGCCCUACUGUGUGAUUAACAAAUAAAUUAAAAAUGAGAUGAAUAACUGCAUUUUCCUGCACCAAUGCCAGCAAUGAGACACCUCUGAAUGUAGGCCUUUAACAGAUGGAGGGAUACAGCGAGAGGGUGGACAGCUUUGCUUUUCACUGACAUAAAACAUACGUUGCACCGUGUUGGGUUUUUUUCCCACCAAGCCGCUGAGACAAAGCACCGGUCCACCCACGCAAACUCUGCAGUCACUGUGAGAGCAGGAACAGUAAUUAAGCACAGUUAAGAUCCCGAAACACCAAAGGAGUGGGGAUGUGAGGGCAUCUGAUUCACUGAGACAGUAAUAUGAAUACAGGAACACUUAACAUGACCCACAGUGCACACGGCUGGAUCGAUGACAUGAACACACAGGGAAUGACUAGCAGUUAAGUUGACUUUUAAGCUGAAUGAAUUCACCAUGAUUCACCGUGAUCUUAGAGGGAAAGUCCGGCGUAAAUUUAAGUAAUGGUCAAACACACUGUAACGCAGAGUUAGACACCCUCUCAAGAGAUGAAUGUUGCCGACUGCUUGCUUCUCUAGUUAUACCAACUUCAGCAACGACCGCACGAUGGCAAUACACAGUGGUCUACGUCUGCACACGUCUGCACAAACUUCGUCAUCAGUACAUAUAGGGUCCCAGCCAUAGUACUAGCCACCAAACAUCUUUUAAGCUUUGCCUGGUUUCUUUAGCAAAGAGACCAAACACAACUCACCCUCUCCUCCAGCAACUGCCUGUUUGUUGGGUGAGCCCUGACGAGUCCAUUACAGAGUGAAGCGGAGUUUCACAGCUCAAGGAAGAACAUUUAUGAUCAUUACUUCAUGGAAAUGCUAUCAGACCGAGACGUUAAGGCAGAAGAACUACCGUGUACCCCGUAGACCCUAACUCAAUUUUACACUGGAACAUCCCUUUAAUGUGACACGGAUAGAAUCAUAGCUUAGCAGGAAGUACCACGGCUAAGUCAUCUCUUUUCUUUAGUCUGGGGUCGAUCUGAAAAAUGGAUCAAACUAUGAUCCUUAAUCUGUGACAUGGACCAAACUGUGAGCUUUGUGAUCCGCUUCAUCCCUACUUUUUGUACAGUCACUGCACACAGAGGACCUUAGAGAGUUUGUUUCAAAACCCCAAAUGUCCAGAUUAUCUGCCUACACAAUGAAACCCCUUUAACAGCCAGACAAAACACAUUUUUGGGCAGUGCUUUUAUAGUCUGGUCUUGUAGGAGUUUAUUUGUUAAAAUAUGCAUCUUCCAUUUUAAUGAAGUAAGAGUCAUGAUCCAAUUAUAAAAAGUAUUUGGCGUCCAUCUCUUUACAUAUUUGUUGCUAAGAAAAAAAAAAGGUUCCUAAGUUUCCUUAACGUCUGUUUUUCAGGGAUUUUUCAGCCCAGAGUAGCCACAGGGCCAAGAUAAAACUAAGCCAAAGAUAAAUAUGAUUUGCAAAGAUUAGAUUGUUAUCCCAAGUUAAAUCCUUUGGUUAUUUUCUUGGAAAUCGCCUCAUCAACUGACAGCAGCACCGCCUGUCUGAAGGCCAGUAAAUCUUGGACUUAUGUGUUGUAAAUAUCAUCAAUAAUUCAGAAUAUUACAAACAACUAUUGAACG
rnacentral:lncRNA from 1 species